GAUCGUAAGGGAAGCCUGUCACAGGAGAGGGAGUCUGUGGUUCCGCACGCUUUUCCUCCCUCGGGGCUUCUGGAUGCUACUACACACUGGGCUGGAAGCAGAGCCAGGAAUGGGUCGAGGUCUGCAGGAUCCCAGUCCAGCUGAGAGUGAGUUGGGGGAUGGGGUGCUUCUCCAAGAACUUUAGUAUUACAGCUCUCUUAGACUAUAUUCAAUGAAAUAGCUUGUGCAUAUACACUUUUUCUGGUGUGGACAAGGGCUAUAUAUGACCCGUGGUGAUUUCAGGGUGAAUGGAAAUCAUUGGCUGGAGUUUAAAGUUCUGCGAAUGCCUCAUUGGCAUGGAGAGGCACUCCAGGAAUCCCCGGUGCUCUCUGGGCGGGUGGGUUCUUAUCUGGAAAGAGGAAGUUGAGCUGGUAGGUUUACCAUGGACUUCAUGACCUUCCUUAGUUAGAGAGUAUGGCGAUUGGACUCCCCAGGUAAGGGAAGCCCUGCUGGAAAGGGGAGUCCUCCAUUUUGCACUGAGCUCAGAGGAGCUAUCCAGACGUGGUAGACUACAACCCUAAUUAGCAGGGUUUCCCAACAGGAUUCUCAUGAGGCAUUCACAUAGUGAUGACCUUCUUCUAAAACUAGACAAUCCAUUGGCUUUCAAGAGAAUGCCAGUGGCUUUUACCUUGGGAACCUUCUCAGGGUUUGGGGUUAUUCUCCACUGCUCUUCGGUGGGUUGGGGUGGUGAGACGGUGGCCAUUGGCUUCCUGUGCUGUGUCCUCUAGUUUCCAUUGUGUCCUCUGUUUACAUGUUAUAGAGCUACUCAAAUAUCUCUGCCAUUUAAAAUUUUUAUCACCUUGAGCCCUUAUUGAAAAGCUUUCUAUUCUUUUAAACCAAUAGACUUUUUAUUGAGAGGAAAGG
rnacentral:lncRNA from 1 species